CCUACGGGGGGCAGCAGUGGGGAAUAUUGGACAAUGGGCGAAAGCCUGAUCCAGCCAUGCCGCGUGUGUGAAGAAGGCCUUCGGGUUGUAAAGCACUUUCAGUGGGGAAGAAAGCCUUGGGGCUAAUACCCUCGAGGAAGGACAUCACCCACAGAAGAAGCACCGGCUAACUCCGUGCCAGCAGCCGCGGUAAUACGGAGGGUGCGAGCGUUAAUCGGAAUUACUGGGCGUAAAGCGCGCGUAGGCGGUCUGAUAAGCCGGUUGUGAAAGCCCCGGGCUCAACCUGGGAACGGCAUCCGGAACUGUCAGGCUAGAGUGCAGGAGAGGAAGGUAGAAUUCCCGGUGUAGCGGUGAAAUGCGUAGAGAUCGGGAGGAAUACCAGUGGCGAAGGCGGCCUUCUGGACUGACACUGACGCUGAGGUGCGAAAGCGUGGGUAGCAAACAGGAGUAGAUACCCCGGUAGUC
rnacentral:rRNA from 1 species